AAGGUAUGGACAAGUGCAACAGAAAGUAUGUACAGGUAAUGCUGUAGUGAAACCAGGUAAACUCUAUGUGGUGCAAUACCAUGUAUAUCAGGAUUUAAGAGCUGCUCGCUUUUUCCUGAGGGGUAGGUAGCUUGAGGUAAUAGGUGACUAUUAUCCUAGAUAAAUGAUGGCACUCUUAGGAGAACAGAAUCCGGCUUAUGUGUAAUUACUAAUC
rnacentral:RNase_P_RNA from 1 species